CGGGACAGGACGGUGGAAACCGAAGUCCUGGCGCGCGGGUCUCAGGGGCGGGGCCUCGGGGCAGGACAGAACGGCUGAAACCGAGGUCCCGGCGCGCGAGGCCCAGGCGCCGUGCGGCGAGAGCACGCCGCUUGACCGGAGGGGCGGGGCCUGAGGGCGGAGUCGCAGUCGCGAGGCUGAAGUUGGCAGGAGAGCGGGCGGGGCCUGAAGCCCCUCUGGGCUGCCUGGACAGAUGAAGUCCAGGUGGAAAGCCAGUAGCCGUUUCCCGGGAGCUACGACUCCAGGGACCCUCAUCCGAACUUAACCGUUGGAACAAUCACAAACCCAGAAACUUUUAGCUGAGUGUUAUUUAUAAAAAGCGCUGUUUUGACUACUGUUGGACUUGGAAAAGCUUUGCCCACGAUACUGAAGCGUAAUUAGCUGCCUACUUUUCAAAAUUAUGUGAUGACUUCAGGGGAAAAGAGAUUCACAAGAACCAGUAACAGGAAAGCUUAAAUAAGCUUGGAAAUCUUUAAACUUUCAAUAUGGGAACAUGAAAUGAGUGCCUGCUGUGUUCCAAGCACUGGGUGAGGCGAUGGCUAUGCAGUGGUGCGCAAGCUGGCACCAUCUCGGUACUCACGGAACUUUGAUCUAUUAAGAGGAACAGAUAUCAAACAAGCCAAUGAACCAAAGGCUGGGGCAUAUCAGAAGAGUCUUGCUCUGUCACCCAGGCUGGAGUGCAGUGGCACGAUCUCAGCUCACUGCAAGCUCAUUGAUUGAGGAAGCCAUCUGGGGGCCUCCAGGUUUAUCGCUUGCAUAGAAAAUUCACCAGAUUAGCAUGCAACUUCUCGGUGUUUAACUGGGUCUCACUCUGUCACCCAGGCUGGAGUACAUUGGCACCAUCACAGCUCACUGCAACCUCGACCUCCAGGCUCAGGUGAUCCUCCCACCUUAGCCUCUUGAGUAAGUAGCUAGGACUACAGGCAUAUACCUGCACUCCUGGCUAAUGUUUAGUAUUUUCUGUAGAAACAGGGUUUCACCACGUUGCCCUGGCUGGUCUCACUCUCAGGCUGAAGCCAUCUGCCGGCCUCAGCCUCUCUGAGUGCUGGAAUUACAGAUGUGAGCCACUGUGGCCAGUCAACAAUUUUUAAAGGUUAACAAAAAAUUUUAAAAGCCUUUCUUGAAAUGCAGCAUGAAGAUCACAUUCAUUCUAGUAAGACUGUACUUAAACUAUGGACGAGAAGAUGCCUGAUUUUUUGGAAGUGUCUGCGCCGUUAUUGACGUUCUUUUCUCUCUUAGGUAUUACAGAAUACUGGGUGCUUUUGUCUUUCAAAGUGCUUUAAAAAGUGCUUAAAAAAGUUUAAAAAUCCCACACCCGGAGGAAAAAGAGGAAAAUGAAAAUCAAAUAAUUUCCUAUCCUGUCAAUGAUAUUCCUCUAUCAGUUCGCUGUGUUCUAUGUGUUCUGAGGAUAUAUUCCAUGCCCUACAUCCUGGGGAAAAAAUAAUAUGUGCCCAUGGGAGAGAAAAUUCUAUUGUGCUUGGAUGCUACCCUAGAGCUGUUUCUUUUAAGAAGGGAAAUAAAUUGGGACAACAUCCUAAGAAACAAAUAUAUGUGUCAUUCAUUGCAGCUCAGUUUCCAAUCAGAAGUUACAGUUUGACUGAAAUGAAGUAUUUUAUGGUACCGGCAAA